rnacentral:rRNA from 1 species
UACGGAAGGCAGCAGUGGGGAAUAUUGCACAAUGGGCGAAAGCCUGAUGCAGCUAUGCCGCGUGUAUGAAGAAGGCCUUAGGGUUGUAAAGUACUUUCAUCGGGGAGGAAAAACAAAACUAAUAAUUUUAUUUCUUGACGUUACCCGAAAAAGAAGCACCGGCUAACUCCGUGCCAGCAGCCGCGGUAAUACGGAGGGUGCUAGCGUUAAUCAGAAUUACUGGGCGUAAAGAGCACGUAGGUGGUUUUUUUAAAGUCAGAUGUGAAAUCCCUGGGCUUAACCUGGAACUGCAUUUUGAAACUGAAAUACUAGAGUAUCGUAGAGGGAGGUAGAAUUCUAGGUGUAGCGGUGAAAUGCGUAGAUAUCUGGAGGAAUACCUGUGGCGAAAGCGGCCUCCUAAACGAAUACUGACACUGAGGUGCGAAAGCGUGGGGAGCGAAACAGGGAUUACGAUACC